rnacentral:rRNA from 1 species
CCUACGGGAGGCAGCAGUGGGGAAUUUUGGACAAUGGGCGCAAGCCUGAUCCAGCCAUGCCGCGUGCGGGAAGAAGGCCUUCGGGUUGUAAACCGCUUUUGUCAGGGAAGAAACGGUCUGGGCUAAUACCCCAGACUAAUGACGGUACCUGAAGAAUAAGCACCGGCUAACUACGUGCCAGCAGCCGCGGUAAUACGUAGGGUGCAAGCGUUAAUCGGAAUUACUGGGCGUAAAGCGUGCGCAGGCGGUUAUGCAAGACAGAUGUGAAAUCCCCGGGCUCAACCUGGGAACUGCAUUUGUGACUGCAUAGCUAGAGUACGGUAGAGGGGGAUGGAAUUCCGCGUGUAGCAGUGAAAUGCGUAGAUAUGCGGAGGAACACCGAUGGCGAAGGCAAUCCCCUGGACCUGUACUGACGCUCAUGCACGAAAGCGUGGGGAGCAAACAGGAUUAGAUACCCUGGUAGUCCAGUCGACCGUAACGUAUAUACUACGUUGGUUGGUUAGGGUUACGGUUACCGUUACGUACGUAACGACGACGUACGUACGUAGUAGUACGUACCGUCCGGUCGGGUACGGUACCGGCCGACGGUACGGUAACGUAACGUAACGAAGUAAGUAGUACGGUCGUAGAGACGACGACGACGACGACGACGGAGGGAGGAGG